UGAGCAAUCUGCCCUUCUCUUUGGAAUAAGCGUUGGAAACGACGUCUAAUGCCGAAUACGACCUCCUUUCGCAUGAUCGGAGGUGGAAAGCUCCGGCGGAGAAGGAUGAGCUCGCGGCCUAUCAGCUAGUUGGUGUGGGUAAUGGCCCACCAAGGCGACGGCGGGUAGCCGGCCUGAGAGGGUGACCGGCCACACUGGGACUGAGACACGGCCCAGACUCCUACGGGAGGNAG
rnacentral:rRNA from 1 species